GGACAAUGGGGGAAACCCUGAUCCAGCAAUGCCGCGUGAGUGAAGAAGGCCUUCGGGUUGUAAAGCUCUUUCAAUAGGGAAGAUUAUGACGGUACCUAUAGAAGAAGCCCCGGCUAAAUCCGUGCCAGCAGCCGCGGUAAGACGGAUGGGGCUAGCGUUGUUCGGAAUUACUGGGCGUAAAGGGCGCGUAGGCGGCCAAUUAAGUUAGACGUGAAAGCCCUAGGCUUAACCUAGGAACUGCGUUUAAUACUGGUUGGCUAGAGUUCGGUAGAGGAAAGCGGAAUUCCUAGUGUAGAGGUGAAAUUCGUAGAUAUUAGGAAGAACACCAGAGGCGAAGGCGGCUUUCUGGACCGAUACUGACGCUGAGGCGCGAAAGCGUGGGGAGCAAACAGGAUUAGAUACCCUGGUAGUCCACGCUGUAAACGAUGAAUGCUAAUCGUUGGGGGCUAAGCCUUCAGUGAUGCAGUUAACACAUUAAGCAUUCCGCCUGGGGAGUACGGUCGCAAGAUUA
rnacentral:rRNA from 1 species